rnacentral:lncRNA from 1 species
GGAGUGAGGAAGGCUUCAUGCGAAGGAGCAUCUGCAAUGGGCUUUGGAGAUUGGGUUAAAAAUAGUUUUUCAAUUUAGAUUUCUAUUGAGAUUUAAUUGACCUAUAACACUGUGUAAGUUCAAGGUGUACACCAUGUUGAUUUGAUACACUUAUGUAUUGUAGUAUGAUUACUACCAUGGUGUUAGCUAACACCUCCAUCAUGUCACGUAAUUAGCAUUUCUCUUUUUUUUGGUGAGAGCACAAGAUCCACUCUCUCAGCAACUUUCAAGUAUGUCAUACAGUAUUAUCGGCUAUAAUCACCAGGCUGUGCAUUAGAUCCCCAGAACUGAUUUAUCUUAUAACUGGAACUUUGUGCCCUUGACCAACACUGCCCCUUUUCCCCGCCCCCAGCCCCUGGUAACCACCAUUCCACUCUCUGUUUGUAUGAGUUUGGAUUUCUUAGAUUCCACAUGUCAGUGAGAUCAUACAGUAUUUCUCUUUCUGUGUCUGACCUAUCUCACUCACAUAGAGAAGAUGCAGUGUAUAUACAUAUACACACACAUGUGCACUCCCACACACACACACAACAGCCUAUUAUUCAGCCAUGAGAAAGAAAGAAAUCCUGCCAUUCGUGACAACGUGGAUGGAUCUUGAGGGUGUUACACUAAAAACAGUUUUUCAGUUGAGGUGAAAUUCACAGGAAGAAGUUGGUUUGGAGUGACAGAUAUGGGAGCAAUCCAAACGACAAUGAAACCCCAGGAGCUGGUGAGAGUGCCAGGAGAACGGGCCCACAAAAGGAAGAGAGAGAAUGGAGGGCACAGCUCUUGAGGCCUCCAGAACUCCACGUCAGCAAGACAGCAAGGGCCCCCCGGAGGAAACGGGCUUCGAGAUGACAGGUCACACGGUGCAGCGAGGAGCGCGUGAGAGAGAGGGCCAGGGGAUGGCCGCGCGCUUCUGGAGAGGCCAGACAGAAGAGUGGGAAAAGUGCGCGUAAACUUGGCAAAUCCAAGCCCGUUAAUGACCCUCUAGGGCGUGGUUUGAGCAGAAAUCUUUAACCUCCUUCUUCAAUCUGAGUUAAAGACUAAGACGUGGAAUAUAAGAAAGCAUGAAGAAGCUUCCAGAAUGGGAUAACUUCUGUGAAAAGCAGGAUCCUGUUGGAAUGGUCACCAACACAUCUGAAGGUAAAAUAGAUCGUCCUGGAAAAUAAAAGUUGCUAGCCUCUGCUAAAGCUGGGAUUUUCAGGAACAAAAGCAGGAGCACAGGUCAAGUGGGAUUUCCAGGGCCCUAUCUUAGCAAGACAGGUGGAAGCAACAAACCACAGGUCGUCAUUGGAAGAAGUGUGUGAGAGAGAUUCAGAGGACAGCCCUCCAAAUAAAGAGUCUUGUGCUUGUUUAAUGAAACAUCAAAGAAGCACCUGGAGAGACCACAGGAUCAUGAAAACGCACGUGAGCAGUGUUCCUGCUGGCUCAGAAGGUGUGUGAUGGCACCAGACAGACUCUGACUCCCUGCCACCAGAAACAGAGUAAAUUCAUCUCUACCCUGCGCACGGAGAAGCUGUUCCUCCUCGUAGGAGUUCACAGUGAGCCUCCGAGCAGUGGGGAUAGCACCCCGUGGCAAUCAGUGUCGACGGGUCUGGAGCAGGCCUUACACCGCUGAGAUGGCUUCUCUUCCUUUCGUCUCUAAACUGCUUCUCCCCCCAGAUUUCUUUUUGCUCUUAUCCUUUGGCAAAAAGUGUGCAUCUACCCUUCGUAGCAAACUGAGCAGAUUCCACUGUAUGUUCUUCAGGGGCAAAUUAGGACUCAGAGCUCCACAUUCUCCAGAAGCGAUAAAGGCCAUGUCACUUAAUCCCUUUGCUGGGUCUUGACCAGCCUUGGGAGGGCAGCUUCAAAGACCGAAGUGGUGCAGAGCCCUGGCCCGACUGGAUCCCGUCCCCUUAUGUUUCCAUGCUUCCCCGCUUUUGAUGAUGCUACUGCGCUGGGAGCAGGAACUGAAGGCGGGUGCUCUGACACUCAGAGACACAUCUCUCAACACAAGAAGUAGGAGAAAGGGUUCAAUCGUCUUAGCAGGAACUGGAGAUGUGUGCACAAGAUGCACUGCUCAGCGUGUCUGGGAGCCCCAGAGCUGCCGCAAGAGGAUAGGCAGCCCACGGAUGGAGAAAUGAUUUUAAGGAGAAGAGACCGUGGGCCUGUAAAUGCAAGUAGCUGCCAUUUAUGGAGCAUUCGUCUGCUCUUUGAAUUCCCGCGAGAACCAGCGCCCACGCACGAGUAGCGGUGGAGUUUGGUUGGACAAAUGACUUUCCUGUCCUCUGCGUCCUCAUCCAUGCCUAGAGGGGAAUGAUGGCCUAAUGCUGGCAGAGGAUUCCAUAGUUUCUUAACUCAUCCUGCUAACACAGUCUAGCACCUUCCAAGGAGUACAGGAUGUGGAGAUAUUUAACAACUAUUGUACUUGUUCUCAGAUUUGGGGGCCUCAGCUGAAACUCUGAAUCAACAGGAAAAGUCACAUCUUAACAUAGUAUUAUGUAUAUGUCAUAGGCUCUUACUAGUAGUUCUUCGGUGUAUUAUGAUUUAAAUCAUGUUCCUUGACAAAAUAAAUUUGGAAAACACUGCUCUAUUGUUUUGCUUUUAAGUAUGAUGUAAGCUAUUGGUUUGGGAUAACUUUUUAAUCUUGUUAAGGGAGUAUUCUAUAUGCAAUUUAUUUAACUUUUUAUCAGAAAUGGAUAUUAAAUUUUGUUAAAUGCCUUUGACAUUUGUCAAGAUGAACAUAAAGUUUGUCUCUUUUGACCCAUUGAUGUGAUCAAUGAUAUUUUUAGAUUUCCCAAUAUUGAAU